rnacentral:rRNA from 1 species
ACGCUGGCGGCAGGCCUAACACAUGCAAGUCGAGCGGCAGCGGGAAGUAGUUUACUACUUUGCCGGCGAGCGGCGGACGGGUGAGUAAUGUCUGGGAAACUGCCUGAUGGAGGGGGAUAACUACUGGAAACGGUAGCUAAUACCGCAUGACCUCGCAAGAGCAAAGUGGGGGACCUUCGGGCCUCACGCCAUCGGAUGUGCCCAGAUGGGAUUAGCUAGUAGGUGGGGUAAUGGCUCACCUAGGCGACGAUCCCUAGCUGGUCUGAGAGGAUGACCAGCCACACUGGAACUGAGACACGGUCCAGACUCCUACGGGAGGCAGCAGUGGGGAAUAUUGCACAAUGGGCGCAAGCCUGAUGCAGCCAUGCCGCGUGUGUGAAGAAGGCCUUCGGGUUGUAAAGCACUUUCAGCGAGGAGGAAGGCCGAUAACUUAAUACGCUGUCGGAUUGACGUUACUCGCAGAAGA